UACGUAGGGGGCGAGCGUUGUCCGGAGUUACUGGGCGUAAAGGGCGUGCAGGCGGUCUGGUAAGUUUGGAGUGACAGUGCUCGGCUUAACUGAGCAGUUGAAUUCAAAUGCUGGACUUGAGGGCUUGAGAGGGACAUAGAAUUCCGGGUGGAGUGGUGAAAUGCGUAGAUAUCCGGAGGAAUACCAAAGGCGAAGGCAGUGUCCUGGCAAGCAUCUGACGCUGAGGCGCGAAAGCUAGGGGAGCGAACAGG
rnacentral:rRNA from 1 species